GACAGAGGUGCCAAGCGUUAGGCGGAAUCACUGGGCUUAAAGCGUGUGUAGGCGGGUGGCUAAGUACCUUGUGAAAUCCCCCGGCUCAACCGGGGAACGGCUGGGUAUACUGGGUGCCUUGGGUCAUCUAGGGGCUGCCGGAACAAAUGGUGGAGCGGUGAAAUGCGUAGAUAUCAUUUGGAACGCCAACGGCGAAAGCAGGCAGCUGGGGAUGCACCGACGCUGAGACACGAAAGCCAGGGGAGCGAACGGG
rnacentral:rRNA from 1 species